rnacentral:rRNA from 1 species
GGUACCGUUCGGGUCGCCGGCGAGUGGACGAACGGGUGAGUAAUAUAGUACGGAACGUUACCUUUCAGGUGGGGAAUAACGUAGACGAAAGUUACGCUAAUACCGCAUAUUCUGUGAGCAGGAAAGCAGGGGAUCGCAAGACCUUGCGCUGAUUGAGCGGCCGAUAUCAGAUUAGCUAGUUGGUGAGGUAAAGGCUCACCAAGGCGACGAUCUGUAGCGGGUCUGAGAGGAUGAUCCGCCACACUGGAACUGAGACACGGUCCAGACUCCUACGGGAGGCAGCAGUGGGGAAUUUUGGACAAUGGGCGCAAGCCUGAUCCAGCCAUGCCGCGUGAGUGAAGAAGGCCUUCGGGUUGUAAAGCUCUUUCGGCCGGGAAGAAAUCGCACAGGUUAAUACCCUGUGUGGAUGACGGUACCGGAAUAAGAAGCACCGGCUUACUACGUG